GCCAGAAGGAAAGAAGACGCAGGAGGAAAGAGAUGUAUCCAAGUCCAGGUGUGAGGUUCCAGUGCAGCCAAUGCCAGACAGUUUCCCUCCAGGGAGGAGCCAGAAGAAGCUUCUGCAGCGACUGGUACAAAUUUCAUCCCUGCUUAGAAAACUCACAAUCAAAAGAUGCAGCUUACUGUUUUGCAUGUCGGCAUUUUUCCCUCCCAGAUGCUCCAAAGACUGUUUCCACCUCAUUGGAGGGUUAUCACAACUGGAAAAAGGCUACAAUGAAAGACAUGGUUUCUGUUCUCAUGGCAGAUCUGAAGGACAUGGAAAUGCAACGUUUGCAUGGACAGAGAACAAGAACAUUCAGGAUAAAAAUACCUCAAUGUUUGGACUAAUGGAUGAGCAAAAAAAGAAGCAGG
ensembl:lncRNA